rnacentral:lncRNA from 1 species
UGCUAAGGUUUUCUUUAACCCAAACCCCUAGCCGCCGCAACCACCUCAAGGGGUUUGAAGCCUCCCUCCAGCUCUAAUUUGGGUAGAGCAAACGGGGCUCCGUCGUCUCCUCCACGCAGGUAAGUAUACUUCUCUUUUUCCUUUUCUUCGCUUAUGUAUUUUAAGAAACAAGUAGGAAAAUAAAAAAACAAUAAAAAGAAAAAGAAAAACGGAGCAAAUUAAUCACCUUCAAAAAAAAUAUUUAUUUUCCUUUUGUUUUCGUAUUUCAGUAUUUUUCAAUACAACAUUUGUCUCCCCCCCCAAAAAAAAACUUACAGAUUUUAUUUGGCUUUAUAGCCGAAAAUAAAAACUAACCCCCCUUUUACAUUUUUCUUAUUUUCUACUGUUUUUGCUAUUCGUGGUUUGCAGGUCUACUGGAUUAGGGUAUGUGGGUUGUGCGAGGGCGACGUGCGCGACAUACAGGGUUGUUGUGUGUUCGUGCGUAGAAACAGUUGCUGCGGCACUAAGGUUGGGAAGAAGGCCGCAUAGGGUAUCUGCUGAUCUUUGAAAACUUGUGUUUUAGGCCACUCUGUGAUUGGGCUAGGGUUAAGUCUAGGUGGGCUCGGGUG